CAAGUAGGCGGUCUAUUAAGCGAGGGGUGAAAUCUUCCGACUCAAUCGGAAAACUGCCUUUCGAACUGAUAGACUUGAGGUAUGUAGAGGGAAGUGGAAUUUCCGGUGUAAGGGUGAAAUCUGUAGAUAUCGGAAAGAACACCAACGGCGAAGGCAACUUCCUGGGCAUAUCCUGACGCUAAAUUGCGAAAGCUAGGGGAGCAAACAGGAUUAGAUACCCUGGUAGUCC
rnacentral:rRNA from 1 species